AACGAACGCUGGCGGCGUACUUAACACAUGCAAGUCGAACGAGAACGGGGGCUUAGGCCCCUUAGUAAAGUGGCGAACGGGUGCGUAACACGUAAGUAAUCUGCCCCAGACUCUGGGAUAACGUUUCGAAAGGAACGCUAAUACCGGAUAGUUUCCAGUGGCACAAGUUGCUGGAGGAAAGUUAGCUUGCUUUCGGUCUGGGAUGAGCUUGCGGCCCAUUAGCUAGUUGGCAGGGUGAAGGCCUACCAAGGCGACGAUGGGUAGCUGGUCUGAGAGGAUGAUCAGCCACACUGGCACUGAGACACGGGCCAGACUCCUACGGGAGGCAGCAGUGGGGAAUUUUGCGCAAUGGGCGAAAGCCUGACGCAGUAACGCCGCGUGGAGGAUGAAAGCCUUCGGGUUGUAAACUCCUGACUGGGGGAAAGAUGAUGACGGUACCCCCAAAGAAAGCCCCGGCUAAUUCCGUGCCAGCAGCCGCCGUAACAC
rnacentral:rRNA from 1 species